UACGGGGGGGGCAAGCGUUGUUCGGAAUUACUGGGCGUAAAGGGCUUGUAGGUGGCCAACUAAGUCAGACGUGAAAUCCCUCGGCUUAACCGGGGAACUGCGUCUGAGACUGGAUGGCUUGAGUGUGGGAGAGGGAUGCGGAAUUCCAGGUGUAGCGGUGAAAUGCGUAGAUAUCUGGAGGAACACCGGUGGCGAAGGCGGCAUCCUGGACCAUAACUGACACUGAUAAGCGAAAGCCAGGGGAGCAAACGGG
rnacentral:rRNA from 1 species